rnacentral:rRNA from 1 species
UACGUAGGGCGCAAGCGUUGUCCGGAAUUAUUGGGCGUAAAGAGCUCGUAGGCGGUUUGUCGCGUCUGCUGUGAAAACCUGAGGCUCAACCUCGGGCUUGCAGUGGGUACGGGCAGACUAGAGUGCGGUAGGGGUGACUGGAAUUCCUGGUGUAGCGGUGAAAUGCGCAGAUAUCAGGAGGAACACCGGUGGCGAGGCGGGUCUCUGGGCAACAACCGACGCUGAGGAGCGAAAGCGUGGGGAGCGAACAGG